UACGAAGGGGACUAGCGUUGUUCGGAAUCACUGGGCGUAAAGCGCGCGUAGGCGGCUUUGCAAGUCGGGUGUGAAAUCCCCAGGCUUAACCUGGGAACUGCAUUCGAGACUGCAUUGCUAGAGUAUGGGAGAGGGAAGUGGAAUUUCCGGUGUAGCGGUGAAAUGCGUAGAUAUCGGAAGGAACAUCAGUGGCGAAAGCGACUUCCUGGACCAAUACUGACGCUCAUGUGCGAAAGCGUGGGGAGCAAACAGG
rnacentral:rRNA from 1 species